rnacentral:rRNA from 1 species
CGGAUUGGAGUCUGCAACUCGACUCCAUGAAGCUGGAUUCGCUAGUAAUCGCGCAUCAGCCAUGGCGCGGUGAAUACGUUCCCGGGCCUUGUACACACCGCCCGUCAAGCCAUGGGAGUCGGGAGUGCCUGAAGUUCGUGACCGUAUAGGAGCGACCUAGGGCAAGACUGAUGACUGGGGCUAAGUCGUAACAAGGUAGC